CGCAGUUGACUGCUUCGGGUUAACUUCCUAGCUAGAUCAGCUGUUUCCUGUAGCUAGUGUGAGUGCCCUGUUUGUCACAGAGCACGUUCGGUUGAUGAGCAGAGGAGAUCGCGUUAGUCUAACUCGCUAACAUAGCUAGCUACAGAUUAUCCUCAUGCUAAUUCCGUGCAUGAACUAAAAAUACGACAGUUCUUGCUUAUAGAUAUAAAGUCACAAUUGCACCACUUGACUAGCCAGCAUGAUACAAGUAUCUUUUAUUCAACUAGUUUAGCCAAUACUGUCGAUUUCCGGUUUGGAUGCUAGUAUGUGUAUUUUCUCAGCAACCACAGGAAUGUCCAGCAAAGUGCCGUUCCCGGCAUUCCGGGGCUGGCCAGCCCGGGAGAGAUGAACAGGUGGAAAGGGUCUGCCAGGCAGAGGUGCGGUGUGGCUGUGACCCCCAUACACGCCAUUCGCUGGAGCGCUAUUAAAACGUUAUUAAGACGGCCUAUGACAUACCUGCUUAUGAAUUUCAAAAGCAGAAGUCAACCAUGAUGCAAUAUAAAGAAAUAGCUACUUCAUGGUUGUUGCUCUAGAAAGAGAGAGCCACAGGCAUAAAGUUAAAAACAAUCCUACAAAUAAAGUUAAAAAGACAGAUCA